GUUAGUAUAGUUUAACAAAAACAUUAGGCCGUGGUCCUAAAAACAGAAGCUAAAAACUUCUUACAAACC
rnacentral:tRNA from 1 species